AUUGAACGCUGGCGGCAGGCCUAACACAUGCAAGUCGGACGGUAGCACAGAGAGCUUGCUCUCGGGUGACGAGUGGCGGACGGGUGAGUAAUGUCUGGGGAUCUGCCCGAUAGAGGGGGAUAACCACUGGAAACGGUGGCUAAUACCGCAUAACGUCGCAAGACCAAAGAGGGGGACCUUCGGGCCUCUCACUAUCGGAUGAACCCAGAUGGGAUUAGCUAGUAGGCGGGGUAACGGCCCACCUAGGCGACGAUCCCUAGCUGGUCUGAGGGGAUGACCAGCCACACUGGAACUGGGACACGGUCCAGACUCCUACGGGAGGCAGCAGUGGGGAAUAUUGCACAAUGGGCGCAAGCCUGAUGCAGCCAUGCCGCGUGUAUGAAGAAGGCCUUCGGGUUGUAAAGUACUUUCAGCGGGGAGGAAGGCGAUGUGGUUAAUAACCGCAUUGAUUGACGUUACCCGCAGAAGAAGCACCGGCUAACUCCGUGCCAGCCGCCGCCGUAA
rnacentral:rRNA from 1 species